rnacentral:rRNA from 1 species
AAUGAAACUUCAAAGUCGGCCUGUUCUGUGCUGGUGGAAACACAUGUGCACGUCUGGUCGCAAAUCCACACACCUGUGCAUCUUUGACUCGAGGUUGUAAUGACUGAGAGUACUUUUACACACUCUGAAUGUAACGGAAUGUCAAAUGUACAAUGUACAAAUAAACAACUUUCAACAACGGAUCUCUUGGCUCUCGCAUCGAUGAAGAACGCAGCGAAAUGCGAUAAGUAAUGUGAAUUGCAGAAUUCAGUGAAUCAUCGAAUCUUUGAACGCACCUUGCACCCUUUGGUAUUCCGAAGGGUACGCCCGUUUGAGUGUCAUUGUAAUCUCACUUCAACUCUUUUGUUGUAUGUGGACUUGGAUGUUGCCGUGUCAAUACGGCUCGUCUCAAAUGCUCUAGUGUACCUUGCUUUUGCAGUGUAUCCGGUGUAAUAAACAUUUCACCAGAGUUGGUUGCAAGACCGCAUUGUCAUGACAAGCUCUAUGCUUUCAAACCGUCCUUUUGGACUGUGGUUUACCACAACUGACAAUUUGACCUCAAAUCGGGUGGGACUACCCGCUGAACUUAAGCAUAUCAAUAAGCGGAGGAAAAGAAACUAACAAGGAUUCCCCUAGUAACGGCGAGUGAAGAGGGAAAAGCUCAAAUUUUGAAUCUGGUGUCUUUGACUCCCGAGUUGUAAUCUAGAGAAGUGUUUUCCGUGUCGGACCGUGUACAAGUUCCCUGGAACGGGGCGUCAUAGAGGGUGAGAAUCCCGUAUAUGCCACGGACUACCGAUGCUCUGUGAUACACUCUCAACGAGUCGAGUUGUUUGGGAAUGCAGCUCAAAAUGGGUGGUAAAUUCCAUCUAAAGCUAAAUAUUGGCGAGAGACCGAUAGCGAACAAGUACCGUGAGGGAAAGAUGAAAAGCACUUUGGAAAGAGAGUGAAACAGUACGUGAAAUUGUUGAAAGGGAAGCGUUUGAAGUCAGUCACGUUUGUUGGGGUUCAGCCUGGCUUUUGCCUGGUGUAUUUCCUUUCCAACGGGUCAGCAUCAGUUUCGACCGAGGGAAAAAGACAUUGGGAAUGUGGCUGUCUUCGGGCAGUGUUAUAGCCUGGUGUUGUAUGUCUCGGUUGGGACUGAGGAAUGCAGCGCGCCAUAAAUGGCCGGGGGUCGCUCCUCUCGACACGCGC